GUUUUGCAGUCCUGUGAGUUGGCUCCCUACAUCUAUAGCGUUUGGGGCGAAAAUGGACUGCAGACAUUAGGCGAAGGAAGCGAAGGCGUGGCCGCCGGAGGGCGCGCGGCUUCACGUGCGAUGUUCCUUCUACAUUCCUCCUCGUGCCCUGCUUCCGCGGCGGUGACGGCUAAGUCGGUUUCGUCCCCUAUCUGAAAGCAGGCAGAGCAUAUCUAAGCAGCUAGAUAUUGCUUGUUUGGACGAGUCCCAUGACAAGCACUUAAAGCUGCUACAGUU